CCAAUUUUACCUUCCCCUCGGCCUGUGGUACACGCAUGGGCCGGGUGCCCAGACUCACUCUUGGCAUGUGCGCCCACAUUGCCAAGGUGUGAUUCAUUCCAGGUGGCUGGCACACCUACAUCUGGCGGCUGGGGGCCGGAAGUAGAGAUCCUGGUUUGUGUGGCUUUGGCAAGCCUCUUGAGUGUUGAUGUGUGGUUUUCAUUCCCGGUGCCUCUCGCCUUUCCAUCUUCCUUCCUUACCUAUUAAGGGCUUAAGGGCACUCUGAAGUUCUGGAGUAAGGGGUGGGGAACAGGCACCCACACUCCGGCCUCAGGGAGUCGGGGCAGAGCUCUCACAACUCUACCUCUGGCCAGCUCCCAGGGCCUCUCCUUAAUUUCUUCGUGAGUCUCUCUUUCUGGUUCUUUCUCUCUGUUUUUCCCUGUGUGUGUUUUUAUUUCCAGUUCUCUCUUUCCUUCCUUUUUUGGAAUGUACCUGGUAUUAUCUAUUUCAACUCUGGUAGUUCACAGAGGCCCAGAGAGUUGGAAUAGCCAAGGUCACAUAGCAAGGGAAUGACCAGAAGUGGAGCCGUACCCUGGUCUUCUGACUUGUGUUCUUGCUGUGACUCAACCCUGCCUUUUUCAGUUACAGAUCCCUGGGACCCCUCCUGCUUCCUGAUAUUUUUCUGGUGUUCCUUUGUGCCUUCAUUCCUCACCUUCAUCUCUCUUUCUCCUUACCUGCUCCUCUCCCAACCUCUCUUCUUCCUCCCUGCUCCCUCCUCUUCCUAGCUUCUCUACCCUUCCAAUGCCAGGCCUAGCUGACUGGAUACUCAUGGGGGUGUGCACAUAAGUAAACAUCCAGCUGUCUACAACUAUGAUCACUCACACUGUUAUAUAACAUGUGUCUGCAUCCAUCAAUGUCCAGAUGCCCAAAUUGCAGACAGAAGCAUUCACGUAAUACAAACAUCACAGCUAAAUAUAAUGUGUAUGAAUAGCCUCAUACACAUUGAAUAUCACUGGGAUAAAUGUUCAGUAUUAUUUAGGAACAGAUGGACAUGCUCAAAGAAAACAGGCAAAGAGACAGAUACUCUAUCAUUAGUUUUAUUAUUAAAAGAACAAGAGUAUAACAGCAGUAAGUCUUUAUGGAGCAGCAGGACUUUAUUAGGCACCCCCUCCAGGCACCCUUCUUCCCCCUCCCCCAUACUUAUCAGGGAGACACUCAAAUAUGACACCCUGAUAAACCUACACAAACAAACACAUGUACAUUCAUCUUGGAACAACCCUCCCAGCUCAGUGCUCAUAAAACACACAGAAAUCCAAGCAUAAGACUGCAGUUGUGACUGCAAUCUAUUUUGUAAAAGAUGCACUUCUAUGCUAUGAUAGGUAGCAUAGAGAGAUGAUCGCCUGACAUUGCUGGCUUUGGAGACUGAGGCAGGAAGUCACAAGCUAAGGAAGUGAGUGACCUCUGGAAGCUGCAAAAGAUGAGGGAAUGGAUUCUCUAGCAGACCGUUCAGAAGGAACCAAGCAUUGCGGACACCUUGAUUUUUGCCUGGAAGUCUUCCAGGAGGAGGUGACCUGUAAAAGAAAGGAAAGUUGUGUUGAGUGGAAGAGAAGUGAAAAGGCCUGAACAAAGAAUGUGAAGCAUCUCUGGGGAGAAAACUGGAUUGGGAAAAGAAGGCCUAGGAGAAGAUUUGAACCAAAAGGAAGAGAAGCACAAGACAAGAGGCCAUGAAAAAGCAAGCCGCGCAUUGUGUGAGUAUGUGUGUGGAGGGCAGGGAUGAGGAACAUUUCAGAACAGAAUCAAUUCAGCCUUGUGCAGAAAGGAAUAAUGAAGGCAGGAGGCAGCAACUUCAGGGCUGUCUGAUUUGAAGGAAAUCUUAAAGGCUUUAUCAGGAAAGGGGAAUCACUAACAGUCAGACAGAAGCACCAGACUGAAUGAAAAAAGAUCACAGCCCCAUAUCCUUAGAGAGUGUCCUCAGAGACCUCAGGUGCCCAAGCAUCUGCCAUGCUGUUGAUUUAUUCUGCAGUGAGUCACUGGAUCCCUGAAACUAGGGGGAAGGGUGAGAUCAUCACCCCAGAAGGCAGGGAGCAGAGACAACAAGGCCCUUGGGGUCCAGGGAGCUGAACCCGUCUGGUCAGAGGCCACUGUCACAAAACCAACAAAGAAUUCAUAUCUAAUAGGUUUUCCUCAGGGCUCAAAUGAGUAGGUUUGGGAGUCACCGGGAGGCUGUGAUACCAGGCAGGAUGACAAACAAAAACAGCCAGCCAAGAAAACAAGCUUCAGAGUGUUUGCCCUGGCAGAACAAGGGAUGUCUAGGUAGAAGCCUGAGAGAGGUCCCAACCAAGGCCACUGGCUCCUCCCUCCCCACAACUCAGAGCCACCAGGGACCUGGGCCAUCUGUCCCCUUCCAUGACCAUGGAGGCUGAAAGUGUCAGCACUGUGACCUGGAAUUAUAUGCCUGGACUGGGGAGGUGGACACCUUGGAAAUAAACUCCAGACCCUCUAUUUGAAAAGUUUUGUGGCUGGGAGUGGUGGCUCAAGCCUGUAAUCCUAGCACUUUGGGAGGCCGAGGCAGGCGGAUCAUGAGGUC